CUUUCGUUUUUUUUUCGAUCGAGCGGCAUUCGAUUGAAUUCGAAAAGGCCAAAC
rnacentral:pre_miRNA from 1 species